AUUGAACGCUGGCGGCAGGCCUAACACAUGCAAGUCGAGCGGUAGAGAGGUGCUUGCAUCUCUUGAGAGCGGCGGACGGGUGAGUAAUGCCUAGGAAUCUGCCUAGUGGUGGGGGAUAACGUUCGGAAACGGACGCUAAUACCGCAUACGUCCUACGGGAGAAAGCGGGGGAUCUUCGGACCUCGCGCCAUUAGAUGAGCCUAGGUCGGAUUAGCUAGUUGGUGAGGUAAUGGCUCACCAAGGCGACGAUCCGUAACUGGUCUGAGAGGACGACCAGCCACACUGGGACUGAGACACGGCCCAGACUCCUACGGGAGGCAGCAGUGGGGAAUUUUGGACAAUGGGCGCAAGCCUGAUCCAGCAAUGCCGCGUGCAGGAUGAAGGCCUUCGGUUGUAACUAGCUUUGUACGGUAACGAAACGGUAGG
rnacentral:rRNA from 1 species